AUGAACGCUGGCGGCGUGCCUAAUACCUGCAAGUCGAGCGCACAGACGAGGAGCUUGCUCCUCUGACGUUAGCGGCGGACGGGUGAGUAACACGUGGAUAACCUACCUAUAAGACUGGGAUAACUUCGGGAAACCGGAGCUAAUACCGGAUAAUAUAUUGAACCGCAUGGUUCAAUAGUGAAAGACGGUUUUGCUGUCACUUAUAGAUGGAUCCGCGCCGCAUUAGCUAGUUGGUAAGGUAACGGCUUGCCAAGGCGACGAUGCGUAGCCGACCUGAGAGGGUGAUCGGCCACACUGGAACUGAGACACGGUCCAGACUCCUACGGGAGGCAGCAGUAGGGAAUCUUCCGCAAUGGGCGAAAGCCUGACGGAGCAACGCCGCGUGAGUGAUGAAGGUCUUCGGAUCGUAAAACUCUGUUAUUAGGGAAGAACAAAUGUGUAAGUAACUAUGCACGUCUUGACGGUACCUAAUCAGAAAGCCACGGCUAACUACGUG
rnacentral:rRNA from 1 species